rnacentral:rRNA from 1 species
GAUGAACGCUGGCGGCGUGCCUAAUACAUGCAAGUCGAGCGAACGGACGAGAAGCUUGCUUCUCCGAUGUUAGCGGCGGACGGGUGAGUAACACGUGGAUAACCUACCUAUAAGACUGGGAUAACUUCGGGAAACCGGAGCUAAUACCGGAUAAUAUUUUGAACCGCAUGGUUCAAAAGUGAAAGGCGGUCUUGCUGUCACUUAUAGAUGGAUCCGCGCUGCAUUAGCUAGUUGGUAAGGUAACGGCUUACCAAGGCAACGAUGCAUAGCCGACCUGAGAGGGUGAUCGGCCACACUGGAACUGAGACACGGUCCAGACUCCUACGGGAGGCAGCAGUAGGGAAUCUUCCGCAAUGGGCGAAAGCCUGACGGAGCAACGCCGCGUGAGUGAUGAAGGUCUUCGGAUCGUAAAACUCUGUUAUUAGGGAAGAACAUAUGUGUAAGUAACUGUGCACAUCUUGACGGUACCUAAUCAGAAAGCCACGGCUAACUACGUG